GCAGUGGUGGCUCAGUGGUAGAAUUCUUGUCUUCCAUGCGGGAGACCGGGGUUCUAGUCCCAGCCAAUGCA
rnacentral:tRNA from 1 species